rnacentral:snRNA from 1 species
UUACUUACCUGGCAGGGAAGAUACCAUGAUCACGAAGGUGGUUCACCCAGGGUGAGGCCCAGCCAUUGCACUGCGGCUGUGCUGACCCCUGCGAAUUCCCCAAAUGUGGGAAUCUUGACUGCAUAAUUUCUGGUAGCGGGGGACUGUGUUCACGCUCUCCCCUG